AUACGAAGGGGGCUAGCGUUGUUCGGAAUUACUGGGCGUAAAGCGCGCGUAGGCGGAUUGGUCAGUUAGGGGUGAAAUCCCAGGGCUUAACCCUGGAACUGCCUCUAAUACUGCCAGUCUUGAGUUCGGGAGAGGUGAGUGGAAUUCCUAGUGUAGAGGUGAAAUUCGUAGAUAUUAGGAAGAACACCAGUGGCGAAGGCGGCUCACUGGCCCGAUACUGACGCUGAGGCGCGAAAGCGUGGGGAGCAAACAGGAUUAGAUACCCUGGUAGUCC
rnacentral:rRNA from 1 species